rnacentral:tRNA from 1 species
GGCCUUGUAGUGAAGUUCAUGGUGAGUUGCAAGCUCAUUGAUGUGCGCUAAUUGCGCGCCGGGGCCU